CAGCACCUCAAGUGGUCAGGAUGAUUAUUGGGCCUAAAGCAUCCGUAGCCUGCUUUGUAAGUUUUCGGUUAAAUCUGUACGCUCAACGUACAGGCUGCCGGGAAUACUGCAGCGCUAGGGAGUGGGAGAGGUAGACGGUACUCGGUAGGAAGGGGUAAAAUCCUUUGAUCUAUUGAUGACCACCUGUGGCGAAGGCGGUCUACCAGAACACGUCCGACGGUGAGGGAUGAAAGCUGGGGGAGCAAACCGGAUUAGAUACCCGUGUAGUCC
rnacentral:rRNA from 1 species